GACGUAGGGUCCAAGCGUUGUCCGGAUUUACUGGGCGUAAAGAGCGCGCAGGCGGUCAGAUAAGUCGAAUGUGAAAGCCCCCGGCUCAACUGGGGAGGGUCAUUCGAUACUGUUCGACUCGAAGGCAGGAGAGGGAAGCGGAAUUCCCGGUGUAGUGGUGAAAUGCGUAGAUAUCAGGAGGAACACCGGUGGCGAAGGCGGGUCUCUGGGCAAUUCCUGACGCUGAGGCGCGAAAGCGUGGGGAGCGAACAGG
rnacentral:rRNA from 1 species